rnacentral:rRNA from 1 species
UACAGAGGUCUCAAGCGUUGUUCGGAUUCAUUGGGCGUAAAGGGUGUGUAGGUGGCGCGCUAAGUCGGGUGUGAAAUUUCGGAGCUUAACUCCGAAACUGCAUUCGAUACUGGCGUGCUUGAGGACUGGAGAGGAGACUGGAAUUCAUGGUGUAGCAGUGAAAUGCGUAGAGAUCAUGAGGAAGACCAGUGGCGAAGGCGGGUCUCUGGACAGUUCCUGACACUGAGACACGAGGGCCAGGGGAGCAAACGGG